rfam:Oryza rufipogon genomic scaffold, chr03
AAAAAGGCAAAAUCUGGGUUUCCGUGUCCAACUUUGACUGUCCGUCUUAUAUGAAAUUUUUUUAUAAUUCGUAUUUUCAUUGUUGUUAGAUGAUAAAACAUGAUUAAUAUUUUAUGCGUGACUUGUCUUUUUAAUUUUUUUUAUAAUUUUUUUAAAUAAGACGGACGGUCAAACAUUGGACACGGAAACCAGAGUUUGUCUUUUUU